AAAGAUUUAUUUUAAGAUUUUUGAAUAUGAGAGGCGGAAGCAAAAGAAAUUUAAAACGACUAAUAAACAGGGAGUGUAACAAUAAAAUAAACGAAGCAAAUCGUGAGUCAUAUACACGUUGUAUGUCAUCUAAUUAAGGACAACUCCAUAAAACCCUUACCGAAAUUUUUUCCGUAAAUUUAAUCAAAUAUAGAUGGUGUCCACGGCAAGCUUUCGCUUAAAAAUUUCAAACGUUUUUAUGAUGAUUUAAUGGAUUCAAUUUGGGCUAACAGGGAGGAAUAUCCUGAAAAGGGGAUUAGAUAUGCCUUCACAGUUGUAAAAAACGACAUUUUCAGUCAAUAUGUGUCAACAAAAAGAAGGAGGCUUUAGUUAGUAACAAUUAGUUAAUAAUAAUUAUUAUUUACUAAAUUAACAGCGGGAAUUAAAAACUUUGUUUAUAUAAUAUAGAAUAGCUUAUAAUAUUAAAUAGAUGUACAAUUUUUCAGAAUUUUACAAUAAUUAAUAAACGCAUUAACAAAUAAUUCAAAAUUAUAAAAUAUAUUGCAUUUUUAAAUUUGAAUGUUAAUCAAAGAACUCAUACUGCUCUUUUAUUUAUGCACCAAAAGCUGACU